GUUCAUUCAUCGACAUAAAACAAAUUUGAACGAUAUAGAAAAGAUUAACAUGUCUCAUGCAUAAGAUUACAUACAUAAAUAGAGAAAUAUACUUUUUUAGU